CAGUAAAUAGCUUAAAUUUAAAGCGUUUCAUUUACAAUGAAAGGAUAUUUUUAUAUUUUCCUGA
rnacentral:tRNA from 1 species